rnacentral:rRNA from 1 species
GUAGGUGGCAAGCGUUGUCCGGAAUUAUUGGGCGUAAAGCGCGCGCAGGCGGUUCUUUAAGUCUGAUGUGAAAGCCCACGGCUCAACCGUGGAGGGUCAUUGGAAACUGGAGAACUUGAGUACAGAAGAGGAAAGCGGAAUUCCACGUGUAGCGGUGAAAUGCGUAGAGAUGUGGAGGAACACCAGUGGCGAAGGCGGCUUUCUGGUCUGUAACUGACGCUGAGGCGCGAAAGCGUGGGGAGCAAACAGGAUUAGAUACCCUGGUAGUCCACGCCGUAAACGGUGAGUGCUAAGUGUUAGGGGGGUUUCCGCCCCCUUAGUGCUGCAGCUAACGCAUUAAGCACUCCGCCUGGGGAUACGGCCGCAAGGCCG